AGAGUUUGAUCCUGGCUCAGAUUGAACGCUGGCGGCAGGCCUAACACAUGCAAGUCGAGCGGUAACACAGAGAGCUUGCUCUCGGGUGACGAGCGGCGGACGGGUGAGUAAUGUCUGGGAAACUGCCUGAUGGAGGGGGAUAACUACUGGAAACGGUAGCUAAUACCGCAUAACGUCGCAAGACCAAAGUGGGGGACCUUCGGGCCUCAUGCCAUCAGAUGUGCCCAGAUGGGAUUAGCUAGUAGGUGGGGUAACGGCUCACCUAGGCGACGAUCCCUAGCUGGUCUGAGAGGAUGACCAGCCACACUGGAACUGAGACACGGUCCAGACUCCUACGGGAGGCAGCAGUGGGGAAUAUUGCACAAUGGGCGCAAGCCUGAUGCAGCCAUGCCGCGUGUGUGAAGAAGGCCUUCGGGUUGUAAAGCACUUUCAGCGGGGAGGAAGGCGGUGAGGUUAAUAACCUCACCGAUUGACGUUACCCGCAGAAGAAGCACCGGCUAACUCCGUGCCAGCAGCCGCGGUAAUACGGAGGGUGCAAGCGUUAAUCGGAAUUACUGGGCGUAAAGCGCACGCAGGCGGUCUGUCAAGUCGGAUGUGAAAUCCCCGGGCUCAACCUGGGAACUGCAUUCGAAACUGGCAGGCUAGAGUCUUGUAGAGGGGGGUAGAAUUCCAGGUGUAGCGGUGAAAUGCGUAGAGAUCUGGAGGAAUACCGGUGGCGAAGGCGGCCCCCUGGACAAAGACUGACGCUCAGGUGCGAAAGCGUGGGGAGCAAACAGGAUUAGAUACCCUGGUAGUCCACGCUGUAAACGAUGUCGAUUUGGAGGUUGUGCCCUUGAGGCGUGGCUUCCGGAGCUAACGCGUUAAAUCGAUCGCCUGGGGAGUACGGCCGCAAGGUUAAAACUCAAAUGAAUUGACGGGGGCCCGCACAAGCGGUGGAGCAUGUGGUUUAAUUCGAUGCAACGCGAAGAACCUUACCUGGUCUUGACAUCCACAGAACUUAGCAGAGAUGCUUUGGUGCCUUCGGGAACUGUGAGACAGGUGCUGCAUGGCUGUCGUCAGCUCGUGUUGUGAAAUGUUGGGUUAAGUCCCGCAACGAGCGCAACCCUUAUCCUUUGUUGCCAGCGGUUAGGCCGGGAACUCAAAGGAGACUGCCAGUGAUAAACUGGAGGAAGGUGGGGAUGACGUCAAGUCAUCAUGGCCCUUACGACCAGGGCUACACACGUGCUACAAUGGCAUAUACAAAGAGAAGCGACCUCGCGAGAGCAAGCGGACCUCAUAAAGUAUGUCGUAGUCCGGAUUGGAGUCUGCAACUCGACUCCAUGAAGUCGGAAUCGCUAGUAAUCGUAGAUCAGAAUGCUACGGUGAAUACGUUCCCGGGCCUUGUACACACCGCCCGUCACACCAUGGGAGUGGGUUGCA
rnacentral:rRNA from 1 species